GUGCUCACUUCCGCAGCACAUAUACUAAAAUUCAAACGAUACAGAGAUUAGGAUGGCCCUUGCGCAAGGAUGACGCGCAAAUUUGUGAAGCAUUUUAUAUUUAA